CGGUGAGAUGGCCGAGUUGGUUAUGGCGCCAGGUUAAGGUUCAUCUUAACACUAAUUCCUGGUCACGAAAGUGGCGUGGGUUCAAGUCCCACUCUCAUCAU
rnacentral:tRNA from 1 species